CUGCUGCGGUGUCUCGGUUGCUAACUACACAGCCUACUCUCUGCUGCUAAAUAUACGGCUUUGUUUCUGCCGUGAAUUACACAGCGUGUCUACUGCUUGGCUACUUGGUUGCUGGACUUUGGACUACAGUUGGCUUGCAUGUGGCUGCAGGCUGGUGGUGGUGUUGGUGAUGUGGGUGGUGGUGGUCUUCCUUCUUGUGUGCCAUGUUUCCUUGGAUUUGGUGACAUCACUGUGUGUCUGGGCAUUUGGGAGAACUUAAAGAGACAAAGCAGCAGUGGUUUCCAACGGAUCUUCGUGCCAGUUCUGCCUCGCGACCUUGACCUUAUCCGCGGUGCUACAACAAAGACACAGAAACCGAAAGUAUACCUCUUUCUCCUAUCUGUCUGAUUUACUGUUGUACACCUUCAUCUGUCCUCUAGCCUUACUCCUUACACUUUCGAGUUAUUAAUCUCAGCCUUCAAACACACUUUCCAAACUCAUGCGCUCAUUCAUACACUUCGUCCGCACCAUGGUAUUUCAAGACAAACAACAUUUUCACAUCUGAUUCCUGUUGGCAGUGUUUUUGUUAGUUAUUCUAGCAAUUCACUUUGUGCCAAUUUACUAAAAUUUCCUCUAGGUUCUUUUGGGAGAGAAAAACGACUUCUGACGCUUUCCACCUGGGCGAGGCUUACACUCCUUCAACACCCAGAAUUAGCAGAAAAAAUGGCUCUGCCUACCUUUGAUAUAUGUUUGGGCCCCUGGUGCUUCAGAAUGCAAGUUCCUCCCGGGAUCAGAAAGGUCUCGUCACGUCUUCCUCCUGGAUAUGGCUCGCCAAACUGAAGAAGCUGCCUGUAGGAGGAACCUCCCCUGCACUGCAGAGGUGGGGUCGUAACAGUACACAUGAGGACCCCAUCUUCCCAAAAUGCUUCCAUACAAUACGAAAAACAAGGGACAAGAGUAAAUGGCUCUAGGCAGGAACUCCUGCGUUCUACAACCUGGAAAAGGAGCUGUCUAUCCAUGUCUUGGAAUGAUGUGCAAACUCUACCUGGCUGCACUGCAUUAUAAUGAGAAUGCUGAUUGAGGACAAGCCACCACGUCAUCAGGGGAUCCUCGUUUUAAACUGAGCUUUCCAAAAUCCAGGAAGGGAGAGUGCAGAGCUAGACUACUAACUUUAUUUAUUUUCUCUCACUCAAACACAUUUACAUUGUACAUGACACAAAGUACUGCAACUGUACUUUCAACACAAUAAACAAAAAAGCUCAUUAU